rnacentral:rRNA from 1 species
UACGUAGGGUGCUAGCGUUGUCCGGAUUUAUUGGGCGUAAAGAGCUCGUAGGCGGUCUGUCGCGUCGGAUGUGAAAACCCAGGGCUCAACCCUGGGCCUGCAUUCGAUACGGGCAGACUAGAGUACGGCAGGGGAGACUGGAAUUCCUGGUGUAGCGGUGAAAUGCGCAGAUAUCAGGAGGAACACCGGUGGCGAAGGCGGGUCUCUGGGCCGAUACUGACACUGAGGAGCGAAAGCGUGGGGAGCGAACAGG